AUGCGCAAGAGGACAGAGAAGGCCCGACACAUGUAAAGUCGGAUCCAAGUAAUCCACCUACUGGUCAGACCCUCGUCUCUCUGUCCCUCAAUUGGCAACGACGCCCCUAAUUGCAGAGACCUGGAACCCAACAAAAAAAAAAAAAAAACUGACUGGUAGAGACCUAACAGCCAACACACCCGAAAAGAUAUAACAGAGACCCAAAAAACACAAAACUAAAAAACCCUCUUUCUUCCACUUCCUCUCUCGUAGUUACGAAAUUCCAAAUAUGUCCUCAUCCGAUUCCAACUCCUCCUCCGUUAACGAUCCCAACCCUAACCCCAAGCCUUUGGAUUACCAAUUCGAAACGCUAAACCUUGAGCAAGGAUCCGGUAGCACCAUCAUCCAAAAAGACGACGACGAAGAAGGAAGACAACAAGAUCAAGGCUCCUCUUUAAAUGGAUCGCUGAAUGUAAACAGUAAGAAUCACGAACAAGAUGACAGAAUUGGCCUCGUCAGGAGUGUAGUGUGGAGGCGGACGAACUCGGAGGUGGAAGUGGACGUGAACGGGCCUUCCAGCCCGAGCAGUAGUGGAUACGCCGGCGAGAGAGGGAGCAGUGGCGUCAGUGAGGAUGAUGAGAUACAGGAGGUUGCAAUUGAUAGUGCUUUCCAUGAGGUUUUUGAUUCACAAGCUGCCUGGUUGCCUGGCAAACGUCAUGUCGAUGAGGAUGAUGCUUCCAUAUCAUGGAGAAAAAGGAAGAAGCAUUUUUUUAUAUUGAGUCACUCUGGAAAACCAAUAUAUUCCAGAUAUGGAGAUGAACACAAGCUAGCAGGAUUUUCAGCAACACUGCAGGCCAUAAUUUCAUUUGUGGAGAAUGGGGGAGAUCGUGUCAAAUUGGUUAGGGCAGGAAAGCACCAGGUGGUUUUUCUUGUAAAAGGGCCAAUUUACUUGGUGUGCAUCAGCUGCACGGAACAGCCAUAUGAAUCAUUGAAGGGGGAAUUGGAGCUUAUUUAUGGUCAGAUGAUACUCAUUUUAACAAAGUCGGUUAAUAGAUGUUUCGAGAAAAAUCCGAAGUUUGAUAUGACUCCAUUGCUUGGAGGAACGGAUGUUGUCUUCUCAUCUCUCAUCCAUUCAUUUAGUUGGAAUCCAGCAACAUUUCUCCAUGCAUACACUUGUCUUCCCCUUGCUUAUGGAACGAGGCAAGCUGCAGGUGCUAUACUGCAUGAUGUUGCUGAUUCUGGUGUUCUCUUUGCAAUAUUAAUGUGCAAACACAAAGUUGUUAGUCUUGUUGGUGCUCAAAAAGCUUCGCUUCAUCCUGAUGACAUGCUGCUACUUUCCAACUUCAUAAUGUCUUCAGAAUCAUUUAGGACAUCUGAAUCUUUCUCGCCAAUUUGCCUGCCAAGAUAUAACCCAAUGGCAUUUUUGUAUGCUUAUGUUCAUUAUCUUGAUGUUGACACAUACUUGAUGUUGCUUACCACUAGUUCAGAUGCCUUUUAUCAUCUUAAGGAUUGCAGGAUUCGCAUUGAAAUGGUUCUUUUGAAGUCAAAUGUCCUUAGUGAAGUUCAGAGAUCCAUGCUGGAUGGUGGGAUGCAUGUUGAGGAUUUGCCUGCUGAUCCUUUGUCUCGUCCUGGAUCUACUUCUCAUUUUGGAGAGCAUCAGGAACUGACCGAUUCUCCUCGGAGAUUUAGGGAACCAUUUGCUGGGAUUGGUGGUCCCGCUGGACUUUGGCAUUUCAUAUAUCGUAGUAUCUAUCUGGAGCAAUAUAUAUCUUCUGAGUUUUCAGCACCAAUUAAUAGUCCACAACAGAAGAAAAGAUUGUACAGGGCUUACCAGAAACUUUACGCUUCGAUGCAUGAUAAAGGCAACGGGGCCCACAAAACACAGUUUAGAAGAGAUGAGAAUUAUGUUCUCCUCUGUUGGGUCACCCCAGAUUUUGAGCUUUAUGCGACAUUUGAUCCACUUGCAGACAAGGUUUGACAUUUUCUCAUGCAUGUUUAAGUUCUUCCUUUGUAUUCUAAAAACUGUAGACAACUAUAAAUUAUAAUCUACUAUCAAACAAGAUAUUUCUUCGUCACACCAGAUAAGCUUCCGGGAUCAUUAAUUGUGAAGGGCUGAAGGCCAAGCUCAUUAUUGUUUUGAUGUCCUCGUAAUUUGGAGGGUGACCUGUUCUCCAAAUUCCAAAUUGAUCUCGUGUAUUCUCAUUUUUUUCAUUAUUAUAUUCUUGUUUCAUUUAAAAUAUUUAAAAUACUUUAUCUUAAUUAUGUUGCCUUUGCAUUUGAUCAGACUAGAUCGUUCUGUUUGCCGCUCCUCUUAAAAUAACUCUGCAAAUGGAUUGCAUGGUCCUUCUUGGUAUAUUUUUGGCACAAUCUAGAUGCAAUGCUGACUUUUUA